ACAGUUCAUACACUUUUAUAAUUUAUUAAUUAAGGAGCGCACUGAAUAGAUGGAUCUACAAGAAUAAUAAUUAGAUUAAAUUUCUUUAACAAAACACAAUUUAACCCAUGCUGUAUAACUCUUUUUUCAGAAUGGAUUGAUAAUCUUGAUAUUCAUGCUUAUGGCAGGCUCUAUCUUGAAAUAGUAGAUGCUCCUCCAGUGCUCGAUUUGGAUUUUCUAUCAAUACUAAGCUUGAAGUUGAACUGGUUUGUCGCCGCUUCAACGGAACUUGCUAUUAUACCACACAACCAAGAACAUCUCCAUCUAUUUCACUUGACUAUUCCGUAUGGAUUGGUGAUUUAUACACUUUGACUGUUCUGUACUGUAUGGAAUUUGAGUAUUCAUAAGAAUGCCUUGUCUUAUACUCCCUCCUGGAGUCUCCAAGACGAAAUCUU